AAAAAGGGUUUUUGUCUCUUAUGACACAUAAGAAACCUAAUAGGUUACUUGAGCGGAAUCACUAGCAAGAGAUUUCGGAAACAUAAUAUUUGGAAGCAGUGGCUGUUGGUUGUCCUUUGCACUGACGCCCGA